AUUGAACGCUGGCGGCAUGCCUUACACAUGCAAGUCGAACGGCAGCACGGGAGCUUGCUCCUGGUGGCGAGUGGCGAACGGGUGAGUAAUACAUCGGAACGUACCCUGAAGUGGGGGAUAACGUAGCGAAAGUUACGCUAAUACCGCAUAUUCUGUGAGCAGGAAAGAGGGGGAUCGCAAGACCUCUUGCUUUAGGAGCGGCCGAUGUCGGAUUAGCUAGUUGGUGAGGUAAAGGCUCACCAAGGCGACGAUCCGUAGCGGGUCUGAGAGGAUGAUCCGCCACACUGGGACUGAGACACGGCCCAGACUCCUACGGGAGGCAGCAGUGGGGAAUUUUGGACAAUGGGCGCAAGCCUGAUCCAGCCAUGCCGCGUGAGUGAAGAAGGCCUUCGGUUGUAAGCUCUUCGGUGGGGAAGAAAUUAGCACAGGAUAA
rnacentral:rRNA from 1 species